CACUCAUGGAAAAUGGGGAGGAUUCCUUCUUUCAUAUGAUCUGAUUCCAAGAACUUUAGGGCGAGAAGAAACACUGGAGUUGACCUAGUUCCUUAAUGGAGUUUAUCUUCAAAUUGCCCCAUCCAGUCUCUGCCACAAACUCCACCUUGGACAUUUACAAGAUGGUUAUUCUAAGGCAAGGACCUCAGCUAUGGCCACAGAAUAGAAGGAGACUAGCUGUCUCCCUUUCCCCAACACUCCAAUCCUGUGGGGGUACAACAAGAUGGAAAGAAGAGAGCGACAGCCGCCGUGCAGGACUGCUGAGCACAUCGCCCUAGGUGAGGUCUCCUCUCCACUGCCCAGCAGCCCGCCUGUUCUUCCUUCGUCUUUUCCCCUCAGAUCUGUCCAAUUGCAUCAUAAACUGUCAAAGUUCAAGGGGCCUGAUAGAUCAUUUUCAAGGAUUGUGGCCUAAAGCAUAUAAGCUUUGAAGGAUGUUGAACCCAUUAAAUCUUUCUUGCAUCUGGGCAAUUGCA
rnacentral:lncRNA from 1 species